CGGCCGCGGCUGAGGCGGAAAAUCCGGCCCUGAAAUCCUGCCGGGUUUGUGGGGACAGUGUAUUACACCCAAGAAGAUGAAGGCAGAUGGCCUUGGAUGUGACACUUCAUGGAAAUAAGAUGCAAAAAGUAUUCCAGGGCAUGAAAUCUUUCGGUAUUUUCAGGUUUCCUGAGCUCACUGGUGGGUAUUUGUGAAAUGCCUGUGCUCCAUGUGAGAGGCUGAGGCACCAGAGCAGGAGAAGCUUGAUGGGAGGAAGCUGGCAGGGAGCUUGGCAGGCAGGUCACACAUGCCAUGCCCAGGAGAUUCCCAGGUGUGGGGAUGAAGGGGGUUUCAGGGUGCACAGCCUCCCAAAUGUUACAGAUACAUAUUAAAAUAUUGGCUUUUUGCAAGUAUUAAAAUGGAUUUUACAUGUGUGGUGUUAAAGUAACUUUGUUAUAAAGUUUUUAUUUCUGUUGUUUAUUAAGCUCAGUGAAAUAGCUGAUAUAAGUAUGCCUGUGUUAAAAUGCUGCUUGGAUGGGAUCACAUCCAAUAAACACAGCAUGAGGACCCUGCUACAGAUAUUCCAGUUAUCAGCACCCAGUGUCUGAAGGUUUGUGGACCAAGGCCCAAAACCAGGAGAUGAUAAGAGUGGACUAAAACCACAAGCAAGGAAUCUGCAUGCCCUAAAAGGUGGAACUGAGGAGGAGCCAUGCUAAACAAUUCUUGGAACAUGUAAACUUUGGGGAAAGAGUUUACCAUGCAUAAUUGUUGAUGAAUAUGUAACAGGCUGAUGCAAUAGAAAUGGGAUAUAAAGGUGUUCCCAAACUAGCAGGUGUGCUCUUGGCUGAUCCCAUAAUUACCUCUGCUCUGUGGUCCUUGUCUCCCAUGGUCUUUUAUUAAACUUUUGACAUUUUCCCAGGACAGUGAACGUGUUUUUCACACAACCCUGUCAGAGGCAGCCCAGGUCUCCUUGUGGGAACCACAGAGAUCCCUCCUGUGUGUCUGAGAUG